AUAUUUUACUCUUCCUGGUAUGUGAAUGUAUAUAUAUACCUAAGUCAGCUACCUGUCUCCUAAGAUCUAUAUGAACUUGACCUUAUGAUUUAAAUUCUAAGGUACAAGGAGUUGUAACUCCAAGAUCUCCAUUGCUUCCAAGAGUAGGUAUGAGAGUUGGGUAGCUACUUGUGUCCUAUGGCUUUCUCUGACACUUGAGUUUAACUACCUCCAAUCCACCUUUGCUCUGUAGCACGUCACCCUAAUAUAAAUCUACCUCUUGUGAGAAGGACUUCAUCUCUUUCAGAACUCUGCCUCUUGGAGGUUCAAGCAGGAGGAUCAUUGUGAGGUGAAGACCAAUCUGGCUUACAAAAUGAGCUUAAGGCCAGCCUGAACUGCGUAGUGAGACCCUGUUUCAAGAAAACCAAACCAAACAAAAAACCACCCCUUGCCCUCCCUCCAAGGUUUUUCAACUGCCACUUGGUCUAUUUCUCUUUUCUAUUUUAGAGGAGCAGUUCAGCUCUCCAUGCAAAUUUAUUUUCUCUAGUUUUUACUAUCAAAAGAAAAGACAAGUUACAGUCAGUGAGAAAAUAUUUGCAAACCACAUAUUUGACAAAAAGUUUGUACCUCAAAGAUAUAGAGUUUUACAAUGUGAACUUUGUUACAGCUUGUCUAAAUGUCCUCUCAAAGCCUCAUGUAUGUAUAAAUGGGGCUUUUCAGAGCUGGCUGGAUCUAAGCUCCUGUGAUGCUGAGAUUAAGGUUGUGAUGCUGGGAUUGAGGGUACCCCACUCGGGGUGUGGAUGGCACUGUCCGAAGGGCGAGCAGCCUAGAUGAACUAUAAAGGGACUGAAAGAAAACGGACUGCUGCUGUUACCGCUUGCAGCUUGCUGUGUCCUGCCCGCCUGCCAUCACUUGUUCUCCUCUGUGAUGCCCCUCUGCCAUGCCUCUGAAUCAGUUGACUAUUGACUAAAUCUAUACAAAUCGUGAGCUAAAAAAAGCUCUUUCUCCCUCAACUUGUGGGUUUUUGGUAUUUUUGUCUCAGAAAUGAGAAAAGUACUAAGUAAACUUAAAAAGUAAGUAAGCCUUCAGCUGUUUACCCCAAACAACACCUGGGCAUCACAUCUGUGUAUGUACUGACUAUCCCUAUCACCACUCAGGCAGGUGUCCUUCCAACAGACGGUUCUUUUUGUAGGAGAUACACUUGUAUGUAGGUUGACUUGUUUUAUAUUGACUAUUUUUGCAUCCAUUUUAUUUAGAAUAUUGUAUUUACUUUUGAUAAUUAUUUCUAGUGGAAUGUAAUAAUAAAUUCUGUAUAUUUUCUUUUACUAGUUAAUGUUUAUCUUAUUUGCGAAAAAUAACCUAUCAUUUUGUUCUAUAAUCAAUAAAAACUUUCAUUUUAAGUACAUUAGAUGUAACUGUUAUACCUCUCCAGAACUAGCGAUAGUUUUCUACUUCUCCAGAACACUUUUACAAUUCAAAACGGACAUGUUUGGGACACUGAGACUAGAUAGGAAGGAAGUGCCAAAAGAUCUGCAAAAGAAAAAGCUGAAAAAGGGAGAAAUGUUAGCUUACAGAGGAAAAGUGUUAUGAAACAUGAUGUCUCCUUAUUGUUAACUAUUCAUAAUGCAGAAAUGAUAGAACUUGAAAGAAGAAACAAAGCUAAAAUAGCUCCCAUAGUGGAAAUGAUAAUAAUUCUAUGCUAAUGUUGACAGACUUGAUCAACAUCUAACAAGCCAUUCUGUAAUCAAAAAGUGAAGGUAAGCCAGGCAUGGUGGUGCACACUGUAAUACCAGCACUUAGGAGGCUGAGGCAGGAGGAUCGUCAUGAGUUUGAGGCCAGCCUGGGUGUUGUAGACAGGGCUUGGAAGGAGAACAAUUACAUACAGAACAAAUAAUUUAUAAUAGUAUUUUAUGAUGGUCACCCAGAGGUAAAUACAAGAAAGUUCAGGAAAUCUGUCCACAACACUAAAAACCUAAAAAAACAACUGAGGGCCUGGAUCCCAUAACAGUGAUCUGCGUGAGACCAGCUGAAAAUCUAGAGUCCAUGACAACUGCCUCCCACAAGUCCAGCUGGAGGCCCAAAGCCCACAACAAUGACUCAUGCAAGUCUGUUUUAUGGAUCUGCACUGGGAAGACCCAAAGGUCAGUGGUAGAAGCUAGAACGUCUGUGCCAGUGGUGAAGGAGCUGUGCCAGUAGGUUGAGGGUUCUGUAGUGAAGCCAAGAAGUGACACUCAAAAUAAGGAUCAUAGCUCCCCUGAAAAGUACUACAGCCAUCCUCAGUGACAAUAAAGUCCUGAGCUCCUCUAAUGAUGAGAACAGCCAAGUACAUAGCAGGAAGCCAGUGUGACAAACCUCUUGGAGAUUAAACAGCACAUGUCUUCUCUGGAGCCAGGAAGCGAUGCUCAACGUCCUAAGGACCAGAGUUCCUUGAAAGUAAACCACAGCCAUUCUCACCAACGAGGUUCUAAGCUCCCCUGAUGACAAUGGCCGAAUCCAUCACAGGGAAGCCAGAAUGAUAAGCUUCUCCAGGAGAACCAAUGGCUCCAAACACCAUCACUUAGGAGAACUCACAACAUCUCACUCUUCCUCUCCACAUCUCUUUAUAUGCUGGCAACUUCCCUCAGGUGGGCCCUCUACAUGUAGUACCAUGCUGAUUUAGUUCAGUUGGGCGUAAGUUGACCACAAGUUUUGAAUCCAUAGCACUGAGCUACAUGGUUCAAGGGUAGCCCUGACUAGAGAGCCAAAAACUAAAACAGAAACAAACAAAAAGCCCAGUGAGGACAAAGUAUUUUAUAAAACAUUUAUGUACCUUCUGGAUAAAAGAAUAUGGAACUCAUUUAUUAUUUAUUCAAAACAAGAGAGCUCAAAAAGUCAUUUACAAUUUAGAUUAGAACUAACAGACCAAAUAAUUGAAAAUAUAGGAUAAUAAAAUGCCAACCAGGAUUCCAUCAUUGAUGUCUUUACCAUUCUGAUUAAUAGGUAGAUGUUUUGUUGAAAUUAUACCACCCACAGAAAAGAAAGGCCAAAGCAGUCAUGUAAGGUGUAUUGUUCAAUGAAAGACAAUAAUGCAGAAAGAAUUUGGAAAGAGACUAAACACUACUGUCCGUAUGGUAAUAUAUGUUGUGUUCUGAAUGUUUUAAGAUAUUAUUAAACACAAAUUAUUGAAUAAUUUUGAUUAAAUUUUCAUGUUUAUAUUUCCAGUUAUAUUGUCUUAUAAAAAUUAAUGAAAAAGCCUGCAACUUUUGGUCAUCCUGUAUUUAGAGACUGGACUGGUGAGUGGUUAAAUAAUCCAUUAGAAAACUGGCAAAAGGUAUAACAGGCAUCCUCUGCAGAAAGCAUACAGAUGGAAGAUAAGGACAUACGAAGAUAUUUACUAUCAUUAGCUAUCCAGGCAAUUCAAAUUAAACCCUCCAUGAGAUAAGACUACAUACCAAUCAGAAUGGGUAAAAUAAUUUUUAAAAAUAAUGACAAUAAAAUUCUGGUAACUAUGUAGAGAGAUCACUCAUGUAUUGCUGUGAUUGUUCAGUUAAUCGAGAAAAUAGUUUAGCAGUUUCCUAUAGAACUAAACAGAUAUUAUACAUUAUAGGAAUUAAAUCCUUGGAUAUAUAUCCCCGAUAAAUGAGAAUUUAUAUCACAUAGAAAUCUACACAGUAAUGUUCAAAGAAGCUUUAUUUAUGAUAGCCCAAACUGGAAAUAGCCAAAAUAUAUGUUAGUAAGUAAAUGAUUCAAUGACUUGUGGAAUAUCCAUAACAUGGAUUACUACCAAGCAAUAAAAAGGAAUGAGCUAUUAAUAUUUACAAUCUAGCCAGGAUUUAGCUCAGUGGCAUAAGCACCUACCUGGCAAGUGCAAGGUCAUGGGUUUGAUUUCUGGCAUCAAAUAAACAACAAAACAAAACACCCAAAAAACUCCGCCUAAAAAACAAAAAAAGAAACAAAAACUAUUUACAACCUGGAUAGAUCAGGAGUGAAUUAUGCUGAAUGGAAAAAGUCAAUCUCAGAAGAUUAACUGUGAUUUCAUCUACAUAAAGUUAAUAUAACAAAAUUCAUGGAGAAGGAGAAUGGAUUAGUUGUUGCUAUGGAACCACCUUAUAUCUUGACUGUGGUAGUCACAUAUAUUUAUGCAGUGAUAAAAUGACAUAUAUCUAAAUAUAUACACAUACAAGAGUACAUGUAAAACUGAUGAAAUUUAACUAAGUUUGGAGGAUUAAAUCAAUGAUCAGUUUUCUAGUAGUGAUUCCAUUCAGAGGCUACAUAAGAUGUUACCUUGUGAAAAUUAGGUUAAGAAUGUACAGUUUAUCUUUCCAUUAUUUCUUUCAGCCAUAAAUAUAUCAAUAAUUAUCUUGGGAAAAGUUAAAAAGUGAGUAAUUUCUAUGAUGAUCAAGGAUCUCGGCCCAUAGCUGGGGUAAGGCUGAUGUCACUUGUUUCCCAGGGAACAGGUCAUGGUCAGCUCCAUCUCUGAGACUCAUGCAUUCUGUCUCCCUCGGAUGCUGCCUCUAGCUGACCUUUACUUCCUCCAGCCUAAGGUCUGGAAAUCACAGAAUUUGGCGCUUGUUCACUGAAAGCCUUCUGAGUGAAUGAGAACUUUCCCAAUGUUCACUCCCAUGGUUUGUUCCCCAGAAAUUAUACAGGAAUCAAAUCCCCAAAGUCAUGAUAACAGUAUUAAUAGAGUAGAGACAAUCCAGAUAUGGAGUUUAGAGGUGAAGCUGUUAGAAUGUGAUUGAGAUUACAUAAGGUCAUUAAAUGGAAUCCCAGUGAUUGCAUCUUGUUGGCUUUAUAGGCAAAGAAAGAGAGGUAUUCAGACAGGCACAUGUGCUCUCUGCUUCUUACCAUGUGACACUGUGCAGCUCUGUCUGAGGCUUCUAGACCUUGUGCAUUCACAUCUGUAAGCCAAAAUAAAAGUAUUUUCAAAAAUAUGGUAGCCUACCUUGUGUUUUUCGUUGUAGUAAUGAAAAUGAACCAAUACAUAUGCUUUCUACUGGUGAUUCUCCAAAGUUUGAUUUAACUUUAUCAUAAUUCUCUUUUAGUGCUAUUAUUUUUGUCACAAGUAUUUUAACAGUAUUAUUAACUGACAAAAUCAGUUCACAAAAAAGGGAAGACAAUGAAGCUUGCCAAUAAAUUAACAGCUGAAUUUGUAACUCUUAACUAGUUGUCUUUAGACACCAGACUCAACAUUGACAGUAUAGACAAAAAGAAUAUGGAGAAAAACAUUUAUCAUAUAAAAUGAAUUGACCUUGUACCAGGAUACAACACUGCAUAUCUCUCUAGUGGGGGGAAAAUGUUUUAGGUUCUUUACUUUCCAAGAUAAAAUGAAGUCUUCUGAGGUCCCAAUAAUACAAAUGUAAUUCUCUGAAUUGCUAUGGCAAGACAAAAUUUGGUAAUUAUUUUCAGAAAAGUUCAAGAAUUUUAAAAAAUUUGUUACUCAGAAUAUAAGUUGGGCAUAAAAAUAGCUGUUUGAGAAUAGCAUAACUAUAUAAACAAGGACUCUUUAGAAUCUUUCUGAAAUCUCAGAGUAGUUCCUAGGUAGUGGGACAGAUUUUAUUAGGCAUCCAAACUGACAAGUCACUUCCUUUGCACAGCUGUUCCUCUUUAAAUAAGAAGACAGAGUUUGAAAGUAUUCUUAUUCCAUAUGUAAUGGAGUUCAUUUAUAGGGAUAAUCUUCUUUUAUACGGCCACACACAUAUUCAACCAUGACCAGAGAAGAGAGAGUGAUGAAAAAAAAUGUAGCCAAAGGUUGAACUCACUCUGCAUUUUGCAAACGAUGCUAGAAUUGAGUGUCACUUUUGCAUACUAAGGAUGCUGAUUUUAACCUGCUUCCUCAGGAAGUUCCAGAGACAAGAAAGAUUUCCCAGAAAGAUUACAGCAUGCCACGAAAUGAUCUGCCCUAAAAUUGUUUCUGGUUUUAAAAAGAUCAGAGCCCUGGCAUAGAUUAAGCACUUACUGUUUAUUAGCUCUUCUUGUUUUUAUCAUCGUUACCAUAAUCAUCGCUUUGAAUAUCAAAGUGGAGAAAACCAUCACCAAACAACUAUUAUUUUCCUGUUUACUCUGAUUCUAAGAACUGGAAGCAGCAUAGUAGGAUUUUAUUAUUAUUGUCUGACCUUAUCUCUUUAUAUUUGGAGUAACAGAACUUUCAUAAUUCUUAGACCAAGGACAGAUAAUACAUGAUUUCUCCUCUUUCUAGCAUCUUACUUUUCAGCAGUUCUUGGUUAGGAUAUUAAAGCUUCCUGUGAUCAAGCCCACUAGUCUCUAUGUCUGUCUUUUGCUAUGUUCUGUCAUAGUAAUACAACCAAUGGCAUAUCUUGUCUCUUCAGCAUCUUUAAAAAUUAUUUCUUUAAAUAGCUAAUAUGGUAUCUGUUUGACUUAUAGUAACUUGUCUUGUUUUGUUUAACAUUGAACUCUAUUCAAUAUUUCUGACUCUUUAGUCUCUUCAGUGAGUGUGCUGGCUUUGGCCUAGUAGUCAGGGAAAUUGCUUUAAACACUUCAUACUCAAUCAGAGCAGAUGCUACAAAUUCAUUAUUUUGGACCACUAUCAACACUACCCAGAACCCAGUGCAGCUACUAUCCCUUGCCAGAUUUCUGUCUGUCUCACAAUGUCAAAUAUGAAUAGCAGACACAGCUUUAUUGAUAUUGCCUUCUGGAAAUUUCCCACUUACCAAUAUGUUUGGUCUUGGAAACAUGAUUAGUUUAUCCUAACAAAAUCCUAUAAUAUCAAAUGUAAGCAGAGGGAUUAAGAUUAGGUUUUAAAUUGCUCAUUUGUAGUUCAAUUGGCUAUUGCUAAAUAGAUAAUUCUGAAAAAUUAACUAUGGAAGCCCAGUUGGGUCAUCACACCUACCAAACUCUCUAGUUUGCCUUCUCCAACAUCAUUACAUCAUUGGCUGCCCACAGCUAUUGCUCCCCAAACUACAGUCCAAGCUCAGAUUUCAAACUGAACCCAACUGAGAAUUGCAGCUGAAUACACUAUGAAGUGCUCCAUGAAGAAAUGCAAAUGUCUGGUAACUAUGCAGUUGCUUAGCUUCCCAAAUCAGAGAAAUACACAUCAAAAUGAGUGGUGAAAUUUGUGAAAUGGUGAAAUUUUUUUGGGAGGGAUACAUUGGAAGUCUCACACACUGUUUUCUCUAAACAAUUUUUUUCUUUUUACUGAGGUAAAGUUUUAAAAAAUUAUCAUGAGCACAUAGGGUUCAGUCUCUGGAAAGCCAUUGGGGAUGGCAAUUCAAGUCCAACUCCUAGCAGUGCAUUCUGAGUUAGAGCUUUUGGGAAUUGGAUGGAUUAGUGGUUGAGCAAUGUUGCCUCCAGUACCUUGUACCUUAGCUGCUCUGGGAAGUAUUAAAUGUGAAUUGUGCUCUGAUGAUUUAGUAAGAGGUGCUAGAAACAGCAGCAUUGAAUAUCUUUUUGUAGGGCAUGUCCACUGGGCUAGCAAUGGGCUGGAGGGCAGACAAUAGAGAAUUAUGACAUAGUCUGUUAUCUCAAGGACCUCAGAGUUGGAGUGACUGAAUGAACAGACAAAUAUCUAGCAAAUAGUUGAAGAUGGAAUGUUGUGCUAUGCCUUAACUGCUAAUAUGGAAAUUUCAUGGAACAGAGACGGUGUUGGAUGGAAUAAUCAUGUAGGUCUCCCUAAGAUGGUGGUAUUUGCACUGGAUUUUAACUCAAAUUUGAGGGAAUAUGCAAGCACCUAUGAAGGCAUUACAGGAGGGGGUUUGGGCUCCGACAUUAGCAUGGAUAGAGAGGCAGGAGGAGCAGAACUUGUUUGGCAAACAGCAGGAAACAAAAGCUUCAUACAUCAGGAAGCUCUUGUUGAGAAGAAAGAAAAAAUAAAGUUUUCCUGCUGAGAUUUGAUUACAAAUGCUCUUAAAAGCUAGGAAGAGAAGUCUGGAAUCAAUGUAGAAGGCUUCAGGCAAACAUUUUAUUUCAGUGAACAUUUACAGAACUUCUUCUAUGUGUUUUCAAGGUUCAAAGAAAACAAGGACCAAGAGUUUGCAGGUUACAGCAGACAACAGAUAUGAACAUACUCAUAGAGAAAUUAGUUUGACCAGAAUAUACAAAUAUACGAAAUAUACAAAGAAUUUAAAAACUCCAAACUGAGCCAAAGAAUCCAAACUGAUGGCAACUGUGAAUAGUCGAUCAUUUCAGGGAUACUCAGAUCUUUAUAUUUGUGUUUUCAGCUUUGGGACUUCAGUUAAAUUUUCCAGACAAGAGGGUAAAUGAAAGUUGUUAGAUUUAAUAAACAUGUUUUUCGUUAGUGUAAGUAUGUCUUGCAUGGCAUACAUUGUUUAUGUGGAAUUAUGUUUUACUGAGCAUACUGUAUUUUGUCUGGCAACCCUAGAAAAAGUCCCAUUUACCAUCCUAUUACAAUUUUAAUUGCCCAUUUCCUAUGGUAAAAUCAGUACAAUUUGGUUGCUAAAUAUGUAGCAGGAAGCAUAUCCAGCUGUGGUUUGGUCUGUGUAUGGCUUAAGUACUUGACAAAGACCUACCAUUCCACGGCAAGUACCUAUUGUACGAGAAACUAUCUUGAAUCUGCAAAUGACCUACCAGAGAAGAUUCAUAUAUAAUGAAACUUUAUUGGGUCCUAAUAGGUUCCAGUAAGAGUUCUUUGGAAGAAUUUGGGUUUCCCAAAUUUAAAGAAAUAAACCUGUAAAACGUCUCUGCCACAUUUGUUUCUUCAAGUUGAUUCCUCAAAUCUACUUACCCUCUUGAUGACCUAUGGACUUGAUUGUGUACUGUUUUCAUUUCCAGAGAAGAGAGGAGAGAUGAAAUGAGUUCUUCAUAGUUUUAUUGUUUUGACAUCAAGGAUCCCAAUUGGUUGCAGUAUCCUAUUUCCAACAUCCAGUGAAACCUAUCUAGCUCCCUGCUUGACAAGCAUAAUAAAUUAACAUACAAUAAAAUAAAAUUCCUAAAGAUUCCAGAAAAUUGAGAAAACUGUGGAAGUUAUGAGGGAUCUUUCACACCAGUUUUACUCUCUCAAGUAUAGUAUUUCUACUCUACUUCUUCCACUACUAAAAGUUUGAAUUGAAUUCAGUUUUGUUACAGAUUCUUGAAACUUGAAGAUGUGAUUUCUUGUCUAGUCAUUUGCAUAAUAAAAUUCCAUAGAUGAAAAUUCACCAGGAGCCUGGGGUAUGUGGAAGAAUUGAGGUUUUUUGAAAUAUAUAAUAAUUGCCUAAAGGGAUGAUUUGUCCCAGGAAAAUGAAAAUCACAAUAAAGGAACACAUCGAGGAUACACAGCAUGAGCAAACAUCUCUUGGUGGAGAGCAAGAGAAAUCUCUUAAGGAUGCUCAAGUGAAAAGCAGUUUACUAAAGAACUCUAAUGGUAUUUUUAAAAAGCAUUGUUACUGGAGCUGGAAAGUUCUGAGAUGCUUUCCUCUCUCUGUGUCUAUCUCUUUUUGUAUCAGGCCCCAGGUAUUACUGUUUCCAUUCCAAAAUGUAGUGCACACUUUUGCUUGCAUGGCUUUUUACAUUCUGAAGUUGUAGUUAAGCAACUACAAUGUUGGUGAAUAAAUUCAACUUUAUGUGAAAGAGUUUCUGGAGUUUCUUCCUGUAAUCAGAUGCCCAUCAGUGAUGUUUGGGAUGGUCCUAAGUCUUCAUAUCCCUAUGAUAGGGUUCCAGGCAUAAAUUUGGGCAGAAGUUUGUGGCUAAAUCAAGUGGAAUAAUAACUGCAAUAUUUUCUUAUGCAUAUUUUCCUCUAAUUGCACCAAAGCAGAAUAAAUAGUUGGUUUGUAGCUUGGUUCCAUGACAGUAUGUGUUUUUUUUUUUCAAGUUCUCAGUAUUUCAGAACAUUUGAUCUUGUAUUGUGGGUUUUGUGGUUUAGAUUUUCCCUGGAGUUAAUGAUAUUAGGAACAGUAUUGAGAUGGAACUACUGAUAAUUGACAGUAUAAUUUACUGGUAAUUUACAGGUAAUUUCUAAAAUGUCUUGGCUAUAAACACUCUGUGUUACCAUACUAUGCAAAGUCAGCACUUGAUACAGCUCAGCUUUAAGUGGGUGAUGGACGAAUCUCUUUACAUGCAAUUCCUUGACCAAAGACUUUAGACAAGAAAUGACAUUUCACUGAAUAAUUUGCUAUAGCAAUUGAGUUUCCUAGACAUUUAAUUUGGGACUCUCUCUCUCUCAAAUCCUGUGGUACAUUGUGUUACAAUGGAAGUAGACCAAAGAAAGUGGAGAUGCCUUCACAGGCUCCCAUUUAAGCUUUUAAGGUACAAUAUUAGUUAUACCAGCUGCUGUUCCCACAUCAUUAUCUGUGGAACAGCAGAAGUGCCAUUCUAGUUUUUUGCACCAUUUUCUCCUUGAGAUUUUUCGUCCUCUUUUAAAAACAAUCAGAUGAAGAAAUUGGAGAAGGGAUAGCUUUUGGUAGCUUUUGAUAUCAGUAUCUCAACUAUCUCCCUAAAUGCUGUUCCUUGCUUCUACAUUAUCUGAUAUUUUGUUGUAUUUUCAAUUCCACCUUGUGUGUUUUAAGCAUUUGUACUUCUCAGAUUAAAGAUGCUUCAGGAAGGACAGCAGAGUAUCUGGAAGUGGCAUAAACAGGACAGAGAAGACUUCAAAACCAUCCAGUAGUCAACUGCAGUAUAGCUGCCCUCUAACACUGGUCUGAUCUCUGUUUACAGAAAUCUGGGAUAAAGCGGCCUUUAUAAAGAGGUAGGACUGCUAGGUGGUUAUUUAUUAGACUCUUUUACACCCCUUCUCGUUCCAAAGGGCCUCAAGUUAGUAGAUAACAUGGAGUUGAAAUCUUAUGCUGGAGGGUAAAUCAGUCAGUCAUAGUGGGAAGCCAAGUGUCACACAUCUAGAAGUCCCCACUUAAUAGUGUCAGAGGCAGGAGCAAAAUCAUGAGUGAGCUUGUGCUGAUGUCAUAGGGGCAGGUGGAGGUACCGAUGGUCAAAGAUGAGUAGUUAGCUCUGCUUUGGUUUUUAUUUCUUGGCCCAGUACAGGACACAUCUGCUACUUAAUUGCCUUAGUAUCACAGCUAUGAUUUAAAGAAGUGCAAAUGAUACACUUAUGUUUGAGUCUGGAGGAGGUGCUCCAAGUACUGUGGGUAUAUAUUAAAAUACCUGACUCCUCUAUCCAUACAUGGACUGGAGCAGAAGUAGUGACUGGGUCACAUAAAAGUCAACUAACAGAUGGGUCAGGAUUGAUGCCAGGAGGCUGGCUGUGUCCAAAGGAAGCUUGGGAAGCAAAAGCAAAGGCCAAAUUGGAGACACUAUGGGAAGACCAAGGCACAAACAACAGUCACAUCACACAUGUACACCACGCUAAGCAAGUCCAAGCAGGGAGUAAGUCAAGAGUAGAAGGAACCAGAUCUGCGUAAAUCAAUAAUGAAUGAGGAAGGGAGUGAGGUGGAGUGGUGGGAAAGAGGCAGAGGAUUGUGCUCUCAGUAGCUAAAAUAAUCAGAAGCAAAAUUGAUUAAUUUAGUAUGUUGUUCAAUUAUUCAUGAAGUAUUCAAUCCUUCAUUUAACAAACAUUUAUGUAUUGAAUACCUUUUAGGUUCUGUGCCUAAAUUUUAGAACAAAAUACUCUUAGAAUUCAUAUACCCAUAUGUUGGGUUACACACUAUGACUUAAAAUAAGGUUAUGAGAAAAUAAAGGGAGGGCAGCUAAUGGAAUCUCAGGAGAAAAGAGAUCCUUCCUACAGGUAUGAGAAGCCCCACCAAAGCUCAAGAACAAGUACGAUUCAGGUAGAAAACACUUGUUUUAGGCCAAAGGAGCAGCAGGUACAAAUGAACUGUGGAAAAAGAGCCCAGUGCUUUGGGGAAGCCACAGAGGGUUCAGACUGGUUAAAGUAUGAAGCUUUAGCAGCUGUGUGGUAAGAGAUGAGGAUUCAGAUAAAAGCUAGGACCAUAACAUCACAUGGCUUCUAAGUCUUAGUAUGCUCUAGAGAUUUUAUCUCAAAAGCCAUGGAGAGCCAUAGUAAUGACUUUAAGCAAGAGAAAUGGAACCUGAGAUUUGUUGAGAGCAGGCCUGGGAGCCAGGAGUAGAGCUGGAGAGAAAAAGACAGAUUGGAGAGAGGUUUAAGUUGUCACAGUGACAGGGCUUGGUUAUUGGCCAGAAAGGUGAGGGAGAAGGAAGAAGUGCACAUGACGUCUAGGUUUCUGGAUUGGACAAUAGAAGGCAAGUGGUGCAGUCAUUUACUCAUUUGAGCAGGAGAAGGAGAAGAUAGAAGAACUGGGGUUUGGAGCAAGAACAACAAGUUGAGUUUUGGAAAUGUCUAGGGUGGGGGACUACACGGGUAGUCUGGAUGGGUGGGUAAGGCCCUUCAAGGACCUUACAGUUGUAAUGUACUGUUGUAAUGAAAUUACAAUUACAGUUGUAAUGAAAUGUACAGUUAUCAUUGUUUAACGGCCAUGGUAUAAAUGAAAAUUCACACUGGUGAAAUAAGGAACUGGAGAUAGAAUAUGCCAAAAAGGUACACUAUGCAUUAUUAUCUAGAUGUACAGAGAUAAUAAACUUCUGAAUAAAGAGACAAAAAUUGUAAAUAUCUGUGCAAAAUUCACAAAACUCAUGGAAUUUCAUUUACAUCAGUGGCUCAUGUUUUAUAAAUUCCUUAAUAUGCUUCCAACACCAAGCCCUGUUGCCGCAUUCUGGGAGGGCUUCCAGCAGGGCACACAGAGAAAAUGGUGUACUUUACAAAACCUAUGCCAUCUCCUCGGGCUCUGAUUUUUUUCUCCUUGGGUCAGUAUUUCACUCUUGUCAGAAUAUUUCUGAUGCCUGCUGUCGUAAGCCCCAGAAGACAGCCAUCUGUUGAGCUGUGGACUGUUUUCAGCCAGGAAUCAUGCAUCGUUAUUCUAGCCAGGACAUGCUGUUGCUUGUAGAAAUUUUUAUAGGUGGAAGUCCAGCAUAUGUUCUGAGUUAGAGACUCUCAUCUGCCUGUGGCAAAUUGCAGCCUGUGCUGGAGAAAAUUCCCUCCUGGGUGAUACUUGAACUGUUUGAGGUAUCAUUUAUUCAGAAAGGACUUGAAAAAAUUCUCUUUCCAUUACUAUUUGAUUUUUGAAUGCAGAAAUGUGGGCUUUCAAUUGUUUCACAUGAAAGCAUGGACCACUUUCUCAUUGGAAGCAUUCCCUUUGUACAGAAGGGGGAAAAGCUUGUGGAGAUGUUAUUGUUUGGACAACUGUCCCCAAAGGUCCAUGUGUUGAACGACAGGUUGUCAGGCUGCAGCACUAUUGAAGUAAGAUGUAGCUUUUAAAUGGUGGUGCCUAAGAGGAAAUUAGGUCCUUGAGGGUGUCCUGAAGGGAAUACUGAGACCUCAGCCCAUUUCCUUCUCUCUGCUUCUGAGCUGCCAUGAGAUGAGCAGCCUCCCCUGCCAUGCACGACAGCCCUGGCUACCUUGCCAUGGGCCCAAAAGGAAUAGGCUGUGGAUGAAAACCUCCAAAAUGUGAGCCAAGAUAAAACUCUCUUCUUUUAAAAUUGAUUAUCUUGGGUACUUUGUAAUAGUAAGAGGAAGGUGAGUACCACGGGACAAUAUACUCCAUGUUUCAAUUUUUGAAAAAGACUUUUUAUAUUUCAAAGGGUGCAUUCUGGCAUAACAUACUUAUCAUUUUAAAUGUUAAAAAAAAAACGGUUUUAAUUUAACCCAGUAUUCAUGAUGUCUGCUAAGAAAUAAUUCCAUUGAACAGAUUCUCAAGUUAGAUAAAAGUUUUAGAUCCAAGAGAAAACAGCUAAAAGUAAGUAAAGGUGUUUUUAGGGGAGAAAUGUGUUUUAGUGACAUAUUAUUUAGGCAGAUUCAUUCCACAGGCGCUGAGCAAUCAUCUUGUGACCUCUUUGCUCUGAAUUAACCAGAAGGGCUCUGUCUGGAACCAGAAGGCAGGGACACCACUGUCGCAGUGAGCAGAUAGAGAAAACUUUCCCACUGAGUGGAUAAGUCCAUAGAUAUCAGGAAUUUCCUUUUCUAGAAUAAAAUUUUCUGCAGGAAAAAAAGCUUUAGAAAUUUUUCCAUUUGCUUAUGAUAAAAAUUAUGGGAAGUUUUGGUAGAAAAAUUGAAAUGAAGGUAGAAGAAAUUGAGAUGAAGCUUUGUUCCCUCUUGGUGAUAGGGAUAGAGUCAAGUCAAGGCAUCACUGUUGGAAAUCCUUCAAAGAUACUGCAUUGUCAUUCAAAGCUCAGCUUUUUGAGGAUGGUCCCUGAAGGAUUUAUUGUUUGGCCAUGAUUACAUUUUCAGCCUAAAGUUUGCUACCUUCAUCCAUUUCUAACACCUUAUACAGUAUCAUCCUGCCAAAUAUAAUAUUUACUCUUAGCUUUUAAAAUGAAACAUAUCUCUACCAAAGAAAGAAUAUAGUGAAUUUUAAAAAUGCUCAUCUCUAUAUCUAAAUUAUAAAUUCCUUUAAAUAAACUAAUAGCCUAACUCUAAAACCAAAUUUGACUCCAAUUGACAUUGGGGAGCAUGCCUUUAUGAAAGAGAUACAAAUUUUAGAUACAAAUGACCUUGCUAAUUUUUCCACGGUUGUAUAGUAGUUUGACAAUAAAGCAUAUUUUCGUUUUCUUAUCUAUAAAACAGGGGUUUAUAAUCUACUAACUAUGGCUUUGGGAGAAUAAAAUGAGAUAGCGUUUAUGAAGGAUUAUCCAUGGCCACUUGGCACAGAGGUGGUGCUAAGUAGUUGUUGAACAGUGUAUUUACUAAGAGACUGGUUUAACUCUUGCCCAUGAACUCACAGUGCUCGGAGCCAUGGCACUUCUGUAAUGUGCCUCUGUGUGCACACAUGUGUGUAUCUGUGUCUGUGUGUACAUUAUUAAACAUAUGCCUUCUCCAUGUAUCAUGGACUGUACCAUAAGGAGGCUGAGUUUCCCCAGACUUUCCUUUUGUCAUAUGUGUUUUUACCAACCUUCUAUUUUCCCUAUUAUGUAGUUCAAAGUAUCUUCUCAAAAUUGUGCUUCUAGAGCUAAGCUGAAAAUUGUGAGUAUGACUGAAGAAUGGCAUAAAAUCCUAAACAAUAAAUUAAAAGAUAGUUUACAGCCCUAAUUAUAGCCAUCUGUGUUAAAUUUCCAUGACAAAUUAAAAUAUCCAUCUUGACACAAGUUUAAUUUUUCCAAAACACUUGUUCUAGAAGAAAAUGUACUUUUUGUAUAAUUGGAAUGGCAUCACUUUGCAAAUAGUUCACUUCACUGGAAAUUCGGUUGUGUUCCAGAGUAAGCUUCACCUGUGUCAUAGGGAAUAUCACUCCUCAACAAAACCCCUGAUAACGUGUACCACACUCACCCACGGAUCACCUUUCCUUUCUCCAUCCUUGCUGUAUUUUCAGUGAACAAUGAGUUCCUUUGGUUUUCUCACGUUUUGCAAAAAUCAUUAUAGAAGCAGCAGUAUGACCAGCUAAUAACUGUUGAAUUCUGAAAAAACAAACAAACAAAAAACCAAAGCCAGCAUCUAUGUCAUCCACAGAAAUUGUAAUGAUUUCCCUUCUAGCUAUUCGGGUUUGAUAGCUUAUCUGCACUAUCCAUUUCUUCCUCUUUCAUAUAUUAUUCAUAUAUACCAGUGUAUGAUACAUUGGUAGUUCUCUAAUGUUUCUACCUGUUCAAAUAGGCAUUUAAUGAUACAGGUAUCUUUGAAGUCCGACUUUAGUAGAGACUAAAAUCAGAGAAUUUUGAUAUACAAUGGCUACAGCAUCUUCUAGACAUCAUUUAGGGUAACUGGGAAGCAAAACAAAUUCCAGCAUUUCCUUAAAACAAGAGUUUGUAAGACGUGUCACAGGAACUGGAAAAAUUUAUCUUUCUUCUGGGCUUCCUUUUAAUUAUCUCCAUAAAAUAAGGUAUUGCCAGAAACAUUUAGAUGCGUCCUCUGUCCUCAUGAAAAAAUACUGCUUAAUUAUUAGGGACUUUCUUUGCUUUUUAAUUCAGAGAUCACCUCUACCUCCUUAAGGGAAUAUCAUGGGAAAGAUUUCUACCUUCCAGGAGCCUUAGAGAAUUACAGCCACUGUCUUCAUGUGUGAUACACCCUUGAGUACAUUAAAAAGCCAUAAGAUACAAAACAUAUAGUACAUGUGUAUCUACUUUCAAGGCAUGAUGGAUAGAUUUAAGUGCAAACAGCCAGAGAGGAGGAAUUUAAGCAAAUUUCCAAGCAAUCUAAGGUUCUGUGAUGUUCUGACUUAACAAUCUAAGGUAAUGCUGUGAGCCAUCCCUUCAGCAUGGGUUGACUGCCAAGGACUUUCUAAUAUAUAUUUCUGCACUGUUCUAGACUCAGGCAACUUUUCUCACUUUUCUUUCUUUCUUUUCAGAGGAAGAAAGGGCUGCAGGGCAGAGAGAGCCUGAUAUUUUGGUCGGAUCACAAAUAGUUGGCGCUGACCUGGAUUUGAGAUUGCUGAGUGAGGUGUGGUGAGACGAGGUGGCAGGACCUGGAGAGUCCUGUCAGCCUUCAAUUGCAUUUGAAAAGAAUAUAACAACAAGGAUAGCUAUCAUGCUUCUUCACGGUAGCCCGUACUGUGCUGUAGAGUGUACAGUAUUUUUAAAUUUGUUUUAUUCCUUUUUCUACUUUUGUCUGACCCUGACUUGCUCAACAGAGACUGAUUUUCCUACCUUUAAUAAAUGUGCAAGUUUUCUGCCAUUAAAAAGAAAAAAAAUUCAAAGGAGAGUCAUUGUGCAUUAUAGAUGACAUGAGCCUGAGUCAAGUGAAGCUCAUUCUGGCGUCACAUCCAUCACAUGGAUUUUGGGGACAGUAAUUUAGACAAGGGACAAUGAUAUGCAAACUGUGGCACAUAUGUGGUUGGCCUGGAACAUUUGUAGGAGGCAAAAUGUGAUUGGAAACAGGUGUUAAGGUUUCCGAUGAAUAAUAUUCCAUACAGGAAGGCAGGGGAAGAUGAUUAUGUCUGACUGGGAGAAUCUGACGUGCACGUGAGUCAUCUUUGUAGAGCUGUCCUAUAGGCAGUUGGAUAUUUGAAUUUGGGACUUGGAAGGAAUUUCUGGCUGUGACAUAGAAGAAAAGAAGGAUCUGGAAAGGCCAUCUCAGGCUUGAGAAGGAUUUGUUUGUCUGCUUGUUCGUGUUCAAAAUGAAAAAGCUCGAAAUAUAUUUAUAUACAGCUAGAGAACAACCGGAAGACAAAGAGAAGCCAAAGAUUUGGCGAGAGGAAGACUGAUCCACAGGAUACUUGUUUUGAGAAGCGGUUGGAGAUGGCAUACAUUCUACUAUCCCCAUCCCAUGAUUCCAGUUGGGAAGUAGCUGGGGGAGGGGGCUUUUUGCCAGAGCACAUAUGGUGAUUAGGCACCGGGUUUGAUCAGUAUAAAGAUUCAUAUUUGCCUGAGUGGAAAGAGAAUGGAAGAGAAGGGGUCAACUCCAGAAAGACUCCAAUUAGUACCUUAGUCCCAGUGGAGGCUGGAGUGAAAGAAAUUUGUAGUGAAAUUGUUCUGGGGCAGACGGAAGGAGGAAAAAGCAUCUUCUGUGCUAGGUGUUCAGAAACGACUUAUUGAAUUCAGCAAAAUUAGAUAGCUAGAUAAGCACUAAAUUCACAUUGACUUGUAUAUUCCCCUGAAUUUAAUUUAUUUUUAAAAUUAAAUCUAUUACAUUGGCUACCAAUUAGUCCUUUUUUUGUGAAAGGAGAAAAAACUCCAUGUGCAUGAUUUGUAGAAGUUUAGAUUUUAAACAAAUAAAAUAGGGGGAAGGAGAAAAGGAAGGAAAA